rnacentral:rRNA from 1 species
GGGGGACAACAGUUGGAAACGACUGCUAAUACCGCAUAACGUCUACGGACCAAAGGGGGCUUCGGCUCUCGCCUUUAGAUUGGCCCAAGUGGGAUUAGCUAGUUGGUGAGGUAAUGGCUCACCAAGGCGACGAUCCCUAGCUGGUUUGAGAGGAUGAUCAGCCACACUGGGACUGAGACACGGCCCAGACUCCUACGGGAGGCAGCAGUGGGGAAUAUUGCACAAUGGGCGCAAGCCUGAUGCAGCCAUGCCGCGUGUGUGAAGAAGGCCUUCGGGUUGUAAAGCACUUUCAGUCAGGAGGAAAGGUUAGUAGUUAAUACCUGCUAGCUGUGACGUUACUGACAGAAGAAGCACCGGCUAACUCCGUGCCAGCAGCCGCGGUAAUACGGAGGGUGCGAGCGUUAAUCGGAAUUACUGGGCGUAAAGCGUACGCAGGCGGUUUGUUAAGCGAGAUGUGAAAGCCCCGGGCUCAACCUGGGAACUGCAUUUCGAACUGGCAAACUAGAGUGUGAUAGAGGGUGGUAGAAUUUCAGGUGUAGCGGUGAAAUGCGUAGAGAUCUGAAGGAAUACCGAUGGCGAAGGCAGCCACCUGGGUCAACACUGACGCUCAUGUACGAAAGCGUGGGGAGCAAACGGGAUUAGAUACCCCGGUAGUCCACGCCGUAAACGAUGUCUACUAGAAGCUCGGGUCCUCGGACUUGUUUUUCAAAGCUAACGCAUUAAGUAGACC